GAUGAACGCUGGCGGCGUGCCUAAUACAUGCCAGUCGAGCGAACAGAUGAGGAGCUUGCUCCUCUGACGUUAGCGGCGGACGGGUGAGUAACACGUGGAUAACCUACCUAUAAGACUGGGAUAACUUCGGGAAACCGGAGCUAAUACCGGAUAAUAUAUUGAACCGCAUGGUUCAAUAGUGAAAGACGGUUUUGCUGUCACUUAUAGAUGGAUCCGCGCCGCAUUAGCUAGUUGGUAAGGUAACGGCUUACCAAGGCAACGAGGCGUAGCCGACCUGAGGGGGUGACCGGCCACACGGGAACGGAGGCCCGGUCCAGACUCCGACGGGGGGCAGCAGUAGGGAGUCGUCAGCAGUGGGCGAAAGCUUGACGGAGCAACGCCGCGGAAGUGAUAAAGGUCUUCGCGUCGUAAAACCCUGUUAUUAGGGAAGAACAAAUGUGUAAGAAACUAUGCACGUCUCGACGGUACCUAAUCAGAAACCCACGGCUAACGAC
rnacentral:rRNA from 1 species